rnacentral:rRNA from 1 species
UACGUAGGGGGCAGGCGUUGUCCGGAUUUAUUGGGCGUAAAGAGCGUGUAGGCGGCCAGAUAGGUCCGUUGUGAAAACUGGAGGCUUAACCUCCAGCUGUCGAUGGAAACCAUUUGGCUAGAGUCCGGAAGAGGAGAGUGGAAUUCCUGGUGUAGCGGUGAAAUGCGCAGAUAUCGGGAGGAACACCGGUGGCGAAGGCGGUUCUCUGGGCCUUACCUGACGCUGAGGCGCGAAAGCUAGGGUAGCAAACAGGAUUAAAAACCCGA